rnacentral:rRNA from 1 species
GAUGAACGCUAGCUACAGGCUUAACACAUGCAAGUCGAGGGACCGGCGCACGGGUGAGUCACACGUAUCCAACCUGCCCUUUCCCCGGGGAUAGCCUUUCGAAAGAAAGAUUAAUACCCUAUGUAAAGGAUGGGGAUGCGUUCCAUUAGGUUGUUGGUGAUGUAACGGCUCACCAAGCCUUCGAUUGUGAGGGGUUCUGAGAGGAAGGUCCCCCACAUUGGAACUGAGACACGGUCCAAACUCCUACGGGAGGCAGCAGUGAGGAAUAUUGGUCAAUGGGCGUUAGCCUGAACCAGCCAAGUAGCGUGAAGGAUGAAGGCUUAUGGGUCGUAAACUUCUUUUAUAUAAGAAUAUGUAUUAUAUGAAUAAGGAUCGGCUAACUCCGUGCCAGCCGCCGCGGUAAUUC